UAUGUCCUACGGGGGGCAGCAGUGGGGAAUAUUGCACAAUGGGGGAAACCCUGAUGCAGCGACGCCGCGUGAGGGAGGAAGGUACAGAGUAUCGUAAACCUCUUUUGUCAGGGAACAAAGGCGGGGACGUGUCCCCGGAUGAGUGUACCUGAAGAAAAAGCAUCGGCUAACUCCGUGCCAGCAGCCGCGGUAAUACGGAGGAUGCGAGCGUUAUCCGGAUUUAUUGGGUUUAAAGGGUGCGCAGGCGGUCUGUUAAGUCAGCGGUCAAAGCCCGGGGCUCAACCCCGGCCCGCCGUUGAAACUGG
rnacentral:rRNA from 1 species